GACGAACGCUGGCGGCGUGCUUAACACAUGCAAGUCGUACGACAGCAUUUCCUUUUAGGUUGUGUUUGGAGUGGCGAACGGGUGAGUAACACGUGGGUGACCUGCCCUCAGCUCUGGGAUAAGCCUGGGAAACCGGGUCUAAUACCGGAUAUGACUCCAUGACGCAUGUUGUGGGGUGGAAAGCCUUGUGCGGCUGAGGAUGGGCCCGCGGCCUAUCAGCUUGUUGGUGGGGGAUGGCCUACCAAGGCGACGACGGGUAGCCGGCCUGAGAGGGCGACCGGCCACACUGGGACUGAGACACGGCCCAGACUCCUACGGGAGGCAGCAGUGGGGAAUCUUGCGCAAUGGGCGAAAGCCUGACGCAGCGACGCCGCGUGAGGGAUGACGGCCU
rnacentral:rRNA from 1 species